rnacentral:rRNA from 1 species
UCCUACGGGGGGCAGCAGUAGGGAAUAUUGGUAAUCUGGGAAACCGGGAACCAGCAACGCCGCGUGCGCGAUGAAGGCCUUCGGGUUGUAAAGCGCUUUUUGAGAGGAUGAGGAAGGACAGUACUCUUAGAAUAAGCCUCGGCUAACUACGUGCCAGCAGCCGCGGUAAAACGUAGGAGGCGAGCGUUAUCCGGAUUUACUGGGCGUAAAGCGUGUGUAGGCGGUUUGAUAAGUUGGAUGUGAAAGCUCCUGGCUUAACUGGGAGAGGUCGUUCAAAACUAUCAGACUUGAGAGUGGUAGAGGGAGGUGGAAUUCCGCAUGUAGUGGUGAAAUGCGUAGAUAUGCGGAGGAACUCCAGUGGCGAAAGCGGCCUCCUGGCCCAUUUCUGACGCUCAGACACGAAAGCUAAGGUAGCAAACGGGAUUAGAUACCCCUGUAGUC